rnacentral:rRNA from 1 species
UUAGGGAUCUUGCGCAAUGGGCGGAAGCCUGACGCAGCGACGCCGCGUGGGGGAGGACGGCCCUCGGGUCGUAAACCCCUUUUCCCGGGGACGAGGACGGACGGUACCCGGGGAAGAAGCACCGGCUAACUCCGUGCCAGCAGCCGCGGUAAUACGGAGGGUGCGAGCGUUGUCCGGAUUUACUGGGCGUAAAGGGCGCGUAGGCGGCCCGGUCAGUCGGCCGUGAAAGGGCGGGGCUCACCCCCGUCUCGGCGGUCGGGACGGCCGGGCUGGAGGGCGGUCGAGGGACGCGGAAGGCCGGGUGUAGUGGUGAAAUGCGUAGAGAUCCGGCGGAACACCGGUGGCGGAGGCGGCGUCCUGGGCCGCGCCUGACGCUGAGGCGCGAGAGCGUGGGGAGCGAACCG